CCAAUAGCGUAUAUUAAAGUUGUUGCAGUUAAAAAGCUCGUAGUUGAAUUUCGGGGUCAGUAGGUUGGUCGUGCCACGGGUAUGUACUGGUCUCACUGAUUCCUCCUUCCUGAUGAACCGUAAUGCCAUUAAUUUGGUGUUGCGGGGAAAGUGGACUGUUACUUUGAAAAAAUUAGAGUGUUUAAAGCAGGCUAACGCCUGAAUACAUUAGCAUGGAAUAAUGAAAUAGGACGUUCGAUCCUAUUUUGUUGGUUUCUAGGAUUGACGUAAUGAUUAAUAGGGAUAGUUGGGGGCAUUAGUAUUCAAUUGUCAGAGGUGAAAUUCUUGGAUUUAUUGAAGACUAACUACUGCGAAAGCAUUUGCCAAGGAUGUUUUCAUUAAUCAAGAACGAAAGUUAGGGGAUCGAAGACGAUCAGAUACCGUCGUAGUCUUAACCAUAAACUAUGCCGACUAGGGAUCGGAUGAUGUUAAUUUUUUAAUGACUCAUUCGGCGCCUUACG
rnacentral:rRNA from 1 species